GUGUGUUACAUUUCAAUGUUAUGUUUCUGUAGUGUCGUUGUUCUCCUCUUAUAUUUGGCGUUUCCCUCAGUUUUAGUUUAUAACAUGGAUUUGAUUUUUUCUCUAUCGAUUUAUAAGUUUUGAACAAUGGUAUACUACUGUUGCCUUUAUUAACCUUGUACAUAAGCUUCACAAAACUCAGUACAAACAACGGUACAUUGCCGGCUCAUCUGCAUGUUCGACUGAAGAAUUGUUCAUUAGACUGACCAGAAUGC
rnacentral:lncRNA from 1 species